AACGCACAUUGCGCCCCCUGGUAUUCCGGGGGGCAUGCCUGUUCGAGUGUCAUUUCACCACUCAAGCCUCGCUUGGUAUUGGGCGACGCGGUCCGCGGCGCGCCUCAAAUCGACCGGCUGGGUCUUCUGUCCCCUCAGCGUUGUGGAAACUAUUCGCUAAAGGGUGCCACGGGAGGCCACGCCAAAAAACAAACCCAUUUCUAAGGUUGACCUCGGAUCAGGUAGGGAUACCCGCUGAACUUAA
rnacentral:misc_RNA from 1 species